rnacentral:rRNA from 1 species
AUACGGAGGAUCCGAGCGUUAUCCGGAUUUAUUGGGUUUAAAGGGUGCGCAGGCGGCCAUUUAAGUCAGCGGUUAAAUCGUGGGGCUCAACCCCAUUCUGCCGUUGAUACUGGGUGGCUUGAUUGCGGUCGAGGUUGGCGGAAUUCGUUGUGUAGCGGUGAAAUGCAUAGAUAUGACGAAGAACACCGAUUGCGUAGGCAGCUGACCAGACCGCAAAUGACGCUCAUGCACGAAAGUGCGGGGAUCGAACAGGAUUAGAUACCCUGGUAGUCCACGCAGUAAACGAUGAUGGCUAACCGCUGGGCUUAUCAGUUCAGUGGCCAAGCGAAAGCGAUAAGCCAUCCACCUGGGGAGUACGACCGCAAGGUUGAAACUCAAAGGAAUUGACGGGG